GAUGAACGCUGGCGGCGUGCUUAACACAUGCAAGUCGAACGGAAAGGCCAGUGCUUGCACUGGUACUCGAGUGGCGAACGGGUGAGUAACACGUGGGUGAUCUGCCCUGCACUUCGGGAUAAGCCUGGGAAACUGGGUCUAAUACCGGAUAGGACAAUGGUUUGGAUGCCGUUGUGGAAAGUUUUUUCGGUGUGGGAUGAGCUCGCGGCCUAUCAGCUUGUUGGUGGGGUAAUGGCCUACCAAGGCGUCGACGGGUAGCCGGCCUGAGAGGGUGUACGGCCACAUUGGGACUGAGAUACGGCCCAGACUCCUACGGGAGGCAGCAGUGGGGAAUAUUGCACAAUGGGCGCAAGCCUGAUGCAGCGACGCCGCGUGGGGGAUGACGGCCUUCGGGUUGUAAACUCCUUUCGCUAGGGACGAAGCGUAUUUGUGACGGUACCUGGAGAAGAAGCACCGGCUAACUACGUG
rnacentral:rRNA from 1 species